GACGAACGCUGGCGGCGUGCUUAACACAUGCAAGUCGAACGAUGAAGCCGGAGCUUGCUCUGGUGAAUUAGUGGCGAACGGGUGAGUAACACGUGAGUAACCUGCCCUUGACUCUGGGAUAACUGCGGGAAACUGUAGCUAAUACCGGAUACGACCCUCGGAGGCAUCUCCUGGGGGUGGAAAGAAUUUCGGUCAAGGAUGGACUCGCGGCCUAUCAGCUAGUUGGUGAGGUAAAGGCUCACCAAGGCGACGACGGGUAGCCGGCCUGAGAGGGUGACCGGCCACACGGGGACUGAGACACGGCCCAGACUCCGACGGGAGGCAGCAGUGGGGAAUAUUGCACAAUGGGCGCAAGCCUGAUGCAGCAACGCCGCGUGAGGGAUGACGGCCUUCGGGUUGUAAACCUCUUUUAGCAGGGAAGAAGCGAAAGUGACGGUACCUGCAGAAAAAGCACCGGCUAACUACGUGCCAGCAGCCGCCGUAA
rnacentral:rRNA from 1 species